ACAAAUGAUCCCGGGCGCGGGCGGCGCCGAGCCCGCGCUGGAGCCCGCCUCGCCGCUGCCGCCGCUCGGCCUGCUCGACUACAUGCAGGAGGAGCUGAUGUACACGGACGCGGUGGACGAGUCCUCCUUCCAGGUGCUGCUGCUCAGCGAGGAGCUCGGCUAGCUCCGGCACUCGCUCCGGUCCGGCUCCGACUCCGGCAGUGCCUGCCCUCUCGCUCACACUCACCCCCGCCCGGCUCGAGUGCGUACUCCUUCUCACUUUAUUCUGUGGACGUGCCCUCCAGUCACCGUGUCAGGGCGGGGGCGUCUCGCUCACACCUGUCUCUAGUGCGUGUCGCCUUCUCACUUUAUUUUUUGUUGCCCUGCAGAUACACUUUAAUUCGUGAUUCUUAUCAUACACCUACAAGAAGUUAAUCCAACAGAUAUUUACUACAUUUGUAUGUAUAUGGGGCGCGGUAGGUAGUCAACGACAAGUUUCGUCUGAUGACAUGCGCUCACCGUGUGGAUUCCUGCAGCUUGAUUGUAUCAAAGAGAAUUUGAAUUGAAAUAGAGGCGGACUGUCAAAGUAAAUUAUGUAGCCACAGUAAACUGGCAUCUUUCGCCAGUACUCGACAGUAGGCCAAAGGUAUGGCGCAAUCUUUCGAGCGAUGUCGCCAUAACUUUUAACCUGCUGUCGAGUAGAUGGCGUUAAUUUCAAUAUUUAACAAAUUAACACAUAUCAGUGGAAGAAUAAGGAUCAAAGUCAAAUGGCGUUCUAACAGUUUUAAUCUUCUGUCGAAAGAUGGCAGUAAAUUUACUGUGGCCUACAUAAUUUACCAUGACAGUAACUCUCUAUACACUCUAUUCUCUUUGAUUGCAUGUACCUACUACGUGUUUGGCGAAGACGCACGAUGCAACGCAGCAAAGUUUCACAUGUAAGAUGUAUUAACACUUGACGCAGGUCUAGAAAACAAUAAGAUUAGUAAUUUACCCGUCGUUUUAAAAUAAUACGGAAUAUUUGAAAAUAAAUAUUGAAAGCUGUAAUUGGUACGAGUGGCCUACAAUAACGUAGAUAUUUAUAUGAAAGAGCUAAGUCGUCGAGUCGAGGCCGAGCCUCGCACUUCGGAUAAUAUUGUUGACUAAAAUUAGCUAAAUUUAUAAAAGCGCGGUGAAAUUGCGCGAAUACGAUACGAUGAUCUUCCGGGUGCAAUAUUUAAAUUAAUCUUUACAAUAACCAGUCAAUUGUAUGCAUAAGUGUACGCGUGUAAAUAGUACCUAUUUAUGUUCUAGCAUUUAUUGAAUAAUCUCCUAAUGUCUGUGUAUUGAAUAUUAAAUACCAGUUAAGAAUUUUGUAGUACGAAAUAAGGACAAGAAAUGUUGUAUAUUGUUUUAAGUACUCACAUACAGCGUCCGAUUGAAAUCAAAUUAAUGAUAAUGUUAAUAUUUAGAAAAUAAGUAAUGUUUUUAGUUAAAUUUUAUGUUUUGUGUGACAGGCUAUUAGGCAAGGUGUUUUAUUACAAGUCAGUUUUCGAUUCUUCGCGUCAAUAUCGAGUUUUUUCUAUUAUAAUUUGAGCAGGAAGACGUUAGUUAAGAAAACACAAACAAAAUACAAUAAUAGUUGAAGUGUAAGUAAACCGGCCACACGCCACACCGGACAACAGGUCGCUCGCUAUUGGUCAAGUCAACUAUAAUAAUGUAAAAUUGUAACUUGUACCUUUAUAAAAUGGGGCCUGGGUCGCGUUUUAUAGAAGGUGGUUAGAAAUGGAGGGAAACAUUAAAGGUUACCUAGUAGUUCUGAAAACUCGACCCUGCGACAGAGUGUCUCUGUCUGCAGCUAUACUUACCUACAUAAUUAUGACAUCACACUCUAUCACAAACUUGUCAUUUUUUCAUAGGAAGUUUUGUGUGUAGUGUUGCCACGGUACCUUAGUGCAGAUUUAACGUAGACGAGCUGUCAACAUUGAAAUGCCUAUACACAAUUUUAUAUUAUAACUCCCCUAGUUAUUAAGGAUGUGUUCAAAAUCGAAUUGAUAUUUAAAAUAUGAAAUGUUAGUCGAGAAAAGUGUCACUCUCAACAGGGUAAAGUCAAGAUAAAGCACCUAUCUCUUUCUCUUUCAGUAUAACUGCGGCAAAAGGAGGCGAUUGUAUUGUAUUGUAUUGUAUAGAAAGUUCUAUAAAUGGAAAUGAAAUGAUCUCGAGAAAUGCCUUUUAAGUAUAGGAGUAGGUAUAGGAACGCUGUAGGAUAGAAAGUGUAAACUCGAUGGACCUUAUGAGUCACACGCACGAACCUCGCCGCCGCCAUACAAUCGAAGAUUUACUUAGGGUCAGUUGUCCUACGUUGAAACAAGCGGACACAGAGAAACUAUGCGAUAUCUCGGAAACUAAGGUGUUACCAGCUAGUAUACCGUCUGUCAAGCAAGGGCAGGCUCAGGGACCCCCAGCACCUCACCAAUACACGCGAGCGCGCCUCGGAGAAGGAGCACGUUGCUACGAGCGUUAUUGUGAAUUCGUGCAGCAAAAGUUAAUUUUUUCAUUUAUGUUUCGCAAUUUUUAACCAAGAUAUAGAAUCGAGUUUGGCGUUAUUUAAUUUUUUGUUGUGUUCUAUGUGUAUUAAAGUUUAUUUGGAGCUAAAUAUUUUUAAAUUUCGUUCACUCUGUGAUGCCGUUUUUUUUAAUUGUUUUAAAAAACAAGUCUCACAAUGAAACAUUUGUAUGUAGUAUACAAUGAAACAGGUCAUUACAGGUCUCAUGUUUAAUGAAACAUGAUGUUCACUGAACACAAUGUACUUACCAGCACACAAUGAAUUAAACAAACCAUUUUUUUUAAAUAAUCAAAGAAUAUGUGCCAAAUUUGUGAAAGUAAAAAAAUAUCACGAAAAGUAAUAAUAAUAAGUCUAUCAUAUGGCAAAAUAUAAGAUACUUAACUAGGGAGAGUUAGACCAAGAAGAGUCUGCAGCGAUUUUGAUAGCCCACGUGCAAGUGUUAUUUAUACGUCAUAAUUUCAUAGAAGUUUGACGUUUAAAAUGACACUUGCACUGCGUAGGCUAUCAAAAUCGCUGCAGACUUUUCUUGGUCUAACUCUACAUACUUUCAUGCGUAUUCAUUCGUUUUUGAUAGCAAUGGUGGAUGAUUGAGGAAAAACGUCUCAUAGCUCCCGCAAAUUGUGACAGUUCUAUAUAAGUUGUGGUUGAAAAGCAUGGGUGAUGUAUAUCUUUCCCGCUUUGAAAAAUAACGUGAUAUCUUCUCUGACGUCCCCCCUCCCCCAUCGUGAUCAUUCGUGAUAUUUUUCUUCUAUUUCAGCCUACCACUAUUUCCUCUUUCCUUUCUCAUUAAUGUCACUUAUUUAUUACACCGUUUCAAUGUUUAUUGACGAUGUUUCAUGGGGCAAAAUGUACUAGUUAUUGAGAUUGCCCAAUUAUUUCUACACCUCCGUGCAAUUUAUGAAAUUUUCUCUAUUGGUGUUAUAGAUUGUAUAUUUGCAAAAAUAAUGAAUAUCAAGAGCUGUAAUUUGUUAUUUUAAUAAUUUAGAAUAAUGUAAACAAACAAGACUACAUGACACGGUCAUUCAACUAAUGAGAUAGGUGUAUAGAUACAAUAAUCCAUACAAUCGAGCCAAUCUUUAUAGAUAAUAUUUUGUUAUCUAUGUUAUCUAUGCUAUUUAUUAUUUUAUUCGCUGAAUAACCGCGAGUCACGUGAUUAUGUUUGUUAAUACAUACUUUGCAAUUUUUGCAAUACUUAAAAGAACAGGCUAGCAGUUUUUUGGACAAAAAAAUCAACAAGUUUUUUUUCAAAUUAUGUAUUUCUUUAGAUUCUCCCAAACGGCAGUUAACUUUUGUGUAGCAAAACGGUAACAUUAGGUAACUUACCUCUAGUUACUGUUGCACAUGUUAUUGCACAGUGUUGGUCCACAAAACGGUAACGUUAGGUAACUUACCUCUAGUUACUGUUGCACAUGUUGUUGCACAGUGUUGGUCCACAAAACGGUAACGUUAGGUAACUUACCUCUAGUUACUGUUGCACAGUGUUGGUCCACAAAACGGUAACGUUAGGUAACUUACCUCUAGUUACUGUUGCACAUGUUAUUGCACAGUGUUGGUCCACAAAACGGUAACGUUAGGUAACUUACCUCUAGUUACUGUUGCACAUGUUGUUGCACAGUGUUGGUCCACAAAAGUAAAUGGGGUGUGGAUGCACCUUAUUAAUAACUACUAGUCAAAGUGAAUGGCGCCGGUACCUUACGUAUCAUGCGACAGAAUCAGUUUACAAAUACAAAAUAAGUACAAUUUUUUAUUAAUAACACCAAAGUAUAACCUGUAUGGUUAUGCACAGUUUGAACCACCAAGCAAACAACGUGUUAUAUAGCUCAAGAAAAUUAUAAAAAUCAGCGGAAAUAAUUCGUGUAGUUUUGAAAAUAUGUACAGUUAUACCUUGUGUUGUCUAGAUAAACAUACUAAAAGUCCUUGAGGGUAGGGGGUGUGCUGAGUUGCUGAGGGUGUAGGGGAGGGGGGGUGGAGGUUGAAGGUACCCUUUUUCAUAUUUUUGCGAAUAUCUCGAAUAUCUGUAAGAAUAGCAUUAUAAUAAGGUACUUCAGACAAAAGUUUUAACAUAAAAUUUCCUAUAAAUUUAAGACUUUCAAGGAAAAAUAUAGGGAACCUAAUCGGUCCAGUCGUUUUUGAGUUUUUGCAAAUAGUCUAUUUUGACGGACGGAUAACUACGGAACCCUACACUGAGCAUGGCCCGAUAUGCUCUAGGCCGGUUUUUUUUUAUAUUUCAUGAGCAGGUCGCUAAGCUUAUUCUAAACUAAAAAUUUGAUUUAUGAUGAACAAUUACGAAAAAACUAAGUUUUCUUAAAUCGUAUAUUUUUAUCUUUUGUGCACUUUAACAGCCUGUAGCUCCUAAAGUAUUGCUCGUAGAGUAAAAAUAAACAUAACUAAAUAUGUAGGAAAUAUUAUCUAUGUUAAAACUUCUUUCUGAAGUAAUAAUAAUGCUAUAUAAGUAUAAUGCUAUUCGUACAGAUAUGAGCAAUAAUAUGAAAAAGGGUACCUUCAACCCCUCUCCUACACCCUCAGCAACUCAGCACACCCUCUUCCCUCGAGGACUUUUAGUAUGUUUAUCUGGCCACCACAAGGUAUAACUGUACCAAUUUUCAAAACUACACGAAUUAUUUCGGCUGAUUGCCCAUAUUCGGCUUAAUUUGACGUGGCUAUUAAUGAAAUUGAGAUUUUUACUUACUAAUGAAUUGGCUGUAAUAUUAGCCGUUUCACUUUUCAAACAACAUACAUAUAUGUUUUGUUAGCGUUAGUGGUCUGUAUGUUGUGUAAAUGUUAGUGGGCCGCGCCGCGGCCGCGUGACGCGCCCGCCGGCGCCGCCGCCCGCAGUGGCUGCCGGUUCUAGAUAAUAAUACUUACGACUAUCUUGUACAUAAGAGGAUAUAUUUUUGGAUCUAUUAGAAAUAUCUUAGAUAAGAUCGCUUAUUUUUUGAGACUGUUGUCCAAAUUAUAUUCAUGGUAGCUUUUUUUUUGUUAUUAAAAUUAUAUACUCGGAGCGUAUUGGCGAUAUCCAAAAUUGUUUAAUGAGUUUUUGCGAGGACCCAAGUCACUCUCGUUGCAUCACAUAUCAUGUUUAGUUUGUUAUUUAAUUGUACUGUUUAGUUGUCUCGUGUUACAAGAUUUUGCUAUAUAAGUACCCAAGGUAAUAAAAUAAAUGUUUUCGAUUUA